rnacentral:misc_RNA from 1 species
CAAUCAUCGUCCCCUCGGGUUCUGCCCGGGGGUGUCGGAUUUGGGUGUUGCCCUUCACCGGGCUCGCCUUAAAAGCAUCGGUGGCUCAGCGUGGCCCGUGGUCUUGCGUGAUAUGUAUCGCCUGACCUUGGGACGCCUGGCUUCCUUGAAACCGCCCGUGCUUCAUUGCAUGUGGACUCUUGC